rnacentral:rRNA from 1 species
CAUAAGCGGAGGAAAAGAAACCAACAGGGAUUGCCUUAGUAGCGGCGAGUGAAGCGGCAAAAGCUCAAAUUUGAAAUCUGGCACCUUCGGUGUCCGAGUUGUAAUUUGAAGAUUGUAACCUUGGGGUUGGCUCUUGUCUAUGUUUCUUGGAACAGGACGUCACAGAGGGUGAGAAUCCCGUGCGAUGAGAUGCCCAAUCCUAUGUAAGGUGCUUUCGAAGAGUCGAGUUGUUUGGGAAUGCAGCUCUAAGUGGGUGGUAAAUUCCAUCUAAAGCUAAAUAUUGGCGAGAGACCGAUAGCGAACAAGUACAGUGAUGGAAAGAUGAAAAGAACUUUGAAAAGAGAGUGAAAAAGUACGUGAAAUUGUUGAAAGGGAAGGGUUUGAGAUCAGACUCGAUAUUUUGUGAGCCUUGCCUUCGUGGCGGGGUGACCCGCAGCUUAUCGGGCCAGCAUCGGUUUGGGCGGUAGGAUAAUGGCGUAGGAAUGUGACUUUGCUUCGGUGAAGUGUUAUAGCCUGCGUUGAUGCUGCCUGCCUAGACCGAGGACUGCGAUUUUAUGCAAGGAUGCUGGCAUAAUGAU